CGCGGCCUAUCAGCUUGUUGGUGAGGUAAUGGCUCACCAAGGCGACGACGGGUAGCCGGCCUGAGAGGGCGACCGGCCACACUGGGACUGAGACACGGCCCAGACUCCUACGGGAGGCAGCAGUGGGGAAUAUUGCACAAUGGGCGAAAGCCUGAUGCAGCGACGCCGCGUGAGGGAUGACGGCCUUCGGGUUGUAAACCUCUUUCAGCAGGGAAGAAGCGAAAGUGACGGUACCUGCAGAAGAAGCGCCGGCUAACUACGCGCCAGCAGCCGCGGUAAUACGUAGGGCGCAAGCGUUGUCCGGAAUUAUUGGGCGUAAAGAGCUCGUGGGCGGUCUGUCGCGUCGGAUGUGAAAGCCCGGGGCUUAACCCCGGGUCUGCAUUCGAUACGGGCAGACUAGAGUGUGGUAGGGGAGAUCGGAAUUCCUGGUGUAGCGGUGAAAUGCGCAGAUAUCAGGAGGAACACCGGUGGCGAAGGCGGAUCUCUGGGCCAUUACUGACGCUGAGGAGCGAAAGCGUGGGGAGCGAACAGGAUUAGAUACCCUGGUAGUCCACGCCGUAAACGGUGGGAACUAGGUGUUGGCGACAUUCCACGUCGUCGGUGCCGCAGCUAACGCAUUAAGUUCCCCGCCUGGGAGUACGGA
rnacentral:rRNA from 1 species